AAAUGCAUAUCGCCCAGGUUCUACUCACUAUUUCUACAGUCUUCGUUGCUGCCUCCGCUUUUGAGGCUCAGGUGGAAACCCAAGCAAUAUUCGACAGAUGGAGAAACCGUAUCGCACAGGAGCAUCCAGAGUGCUCGGAAAUGUGGCCCAUAACGGACCAGGAGAAGGAUACGUUCUUUCGCCAGCACGAAUUGACGGACACGCCCACUUUCAAGUGUUACCUUAAUUGCAUCCACGUUAAGUUUAAUCUUAUCGACGAGGACGGAAAUAUCAACAGGGAUGAGCUCUAUAAUAUGUUCGAGAGGAUGACCUACCAGAUGAUGGACAUUUGUGAUGCUGGGGUUGUCGAGAAGACCGACAAGUGCGAGAGGAUCUUCGAGUUUGUCAAUUGCGUAUUGCAUUACGAAAAGGUGUACGCGAGUUAGCGAGUACAUCCAAACCUUUUGCGCAUUUGAUUUUCAGAUUCUCAAAUUUGUUGGUUUACAGGGGUCUUAAAUGGAAAUUAUUUUCUCUAUUAGUAUACUCUACAGUAUGUGUAUUUUCUUUCUGUCUAGAACCUUAUUCAGUUACACUUCAUUUUACCGAAACGGUUAGAAGGCAUGGAAUUUUAAUUGCCAUCAUCCAUAUUUUAUUAAUCUCUGGUAAUUGGAUUCAUUAAAUUGGGAAUUAUGCGGUAAUUAGGACGGAUUGAUCUGUGAAUCAAAAAUGAAUCUUAAGAAUCGCUGAACCGAACUCGACUUAUCUUAACAAGUGCUGUGGACCUACUGUUCGAAACUACCGAUUGUGUAACACAUGUGCAACAAAGUACAUUUCGGAUGACUCCCAGGAAGUCAUGAAUUAUAUGAAAGCUUCUAUUCCUUAACUCGUAAAUAACACCCUUGUCGGUUAAAGAAUAGACCCUUAAUAUUUAAACUACUUGUCGGUUCAGCGUUUUAUGCACAUUUGUGCAACGUAAUUACUAGAAGUUAAUACCGGAAAUUUCGUCCGCUACAGAUCCAUAGAUCUCCGUAGGGAGAAUAUAAUUUGCGUUCUAUCUCGUUAUCGUUUCGGCUGAUAUUUGUCAUAUUACAGUUUCUAUUGACGAUUGUUGCAUUAGUAGCCCUUUUAUUUAAGAGGGUUUUAAAUGUAGGGUUCCAGUAAAUCUACUUUUAAUUGAUCAGCAACAUAUUUUCCUUCCCGGUUUAGAGAUAGUUAAAUGAUAAACAGUGGAGAGCAAUUAAAGGUAGUGCUAAGCGAGGUUUAAAAAAAGGGAAAGAACUCAAGAUUAAAUCGGGGAAACAGCAGUAAAACAACAUUCCA